GACGAACCGUGCAAACGUUGUUCGGAAUCACUGGGCUUAAAGGGCGCGUAGGCGGCUUGCAUAGUCGGUGGUGAAAUCCUGCAGCUUAACUGUAGAAGUGCCUCCGAUACUAGCAAGCUCGAGGGAGGUAGGGGUCUGCGGAACUUCUGGUGGAGCGGUGAAAUGCGUUGAUAUCAGAAGGAACGCCGGUGGCGAAAGCGGCGGACUGGACCUCUUCUGACGCUGAGGCGCGAAAGCCAGGGGAGCAAACGGG
rnacentral:rRNA from 1 species